GAUGAACGCUGGCGGCGUGCCUAAUACAUGCAAGUCGAGCGAACAGACGAGGCGCUUGCCCGUCUGCAGUUAGCGGCGGACGGGUGAGUAACACGAGGAUAACCUACCUAUAAGACUGGGAUAACUUCGGGAAACCGGAGCUCAUACAGGAUAAUAUAUUGAACGUCAUGGUUCAUUAGUGAAAGCCGGUUUUGCUGUCACUUAUAGAUGGAUCCGCGCCGCAUUAGCUAGUUGGUAAGGUAACGGCUUACCAAGGCUACGAUGCGUAGCCGAUCUGAGAGGGUGAUCAGCCACACUGGAACUGAGACACGGUCCAGACUCCUACGGGAGGCAGCAGUAGGGAAUCUUCCGCAAUGGGCGAAAGCCUGACGGAGCAACGCCGCGUGUGUGAUGAAGGUCUUCGGAUCGUAAAACUCUGUUAGUAGGGAAGAACAAAUGUGUAAGUAACUAUGCACGUCUUGACGGUACCUAAACAGAAAGCCACGGCUAACUACGUG
rnacentral:rRNA from 1 species